rnacentral:rRNA from 1 species
UACGAAGGGGGCUAGCGUUGCUCGGAUUGACUGGGCGUAAAGGGCGCGUAGGCGGUUCGUACAGUCAGACGUGAAAUUCCUGGGCUCGAACCUGGGGGCUGCGUUUGAUACGUGCGGACUUGAGUGCGGAAGAGGGUCGUGGAAUUCCCAGUGUAGAGGUGAAAUUCGUAGAUAGUUGGGAAGAACACCGGUGGCGAAGGCGGCGACCUGGUCCGAUACUGGACGCUGAGGCGCGAAAGCGUGGGGAGCAAACAGG